AGCAGCCGCGGUAAUUCCAGCUCCAAUAGCGUAUAUUAAAGUUGUUGCAGUUAAAAGCUCGUAGUUGAAUUUCGGGAUCAAUACGUCGGUCGUGCUUCGGUACGUACUGGCGUAAUUGAUUUCUCCCUUCUGACGAACCAUGAUGUCAUUAACUUGGUGUCAUGGGAAAUCAGGACUGUUACUUUGAAAAAUUAGAGUGUUUAAAGCAGGCUCACGCUUGAAUACAUUAGCAUGGAAUAAUGAAAUAGGACGUUCGAUCCUAUUUUGUUGGUUUUUUAGGAUCAACGUAAUGAUUAAUAGGGAUAGUUGGGGCAUUAGUAUUCAAUUGUCAGAGGUGAAAUUCUUGGGAUUUUUAUUGAAGACUAACUACUGCGAAAAGCAUUUUGCCAAGGAUGUUUCAUUAAUCAAGACGAAGUUUAGGGGAUCGAAAGACGAUCAGAUACCGUCGUAGUCUUAAACCCAUAAAACUAUGCCCGACUA
rnacentral:rRNA from 1 species